rnacentral:rRNA from 1 species
CAUAGCGACUAUCGUGGCAUAUCAAUAAGCGGAGGAAAAGAAACUAACUAGGAUUCCCUUAGUAACGGCGAGUGAAGCGGGAAGAGCUCAAAUUUGAAAUCUUCAAGGUUCUACCUUGACGAAUUGUAGUUUAUAGAAGUGUUUUCUGUUAGUAGAGUUGGCUAAAAGUUCUUUGGAAUAGGACAUCAUAGAGGGUGAGAAUCCCGUAUUUGAUCCAUUCUUUCCUAACUUUGUGAUACACUUUCAACGAGUCGGAUUGUUUGGGAAUGCAGUCCAAAAUGGGUGGUAAAUUUCAUCUAAAGCUAAAUAUUGGCGAGAGACCGAUAGCGAACAAGUACCGUGAGGGAAAGAUGAAAAGAACUUUGAAAAGAGAGUUAAACAGUACGUGAAAUUGUCAAAAGGGAAGCGUUUGACACCAGUGUUGUUUUCUCGAAAAUCAAUUAAAAAUGAUGGGAUUUUGUGUUGUAUUGACCUUUAUCAGCUUUCUGCACUUUUUUCUUAUCUUUUUUAAUGCACCUUUUCGUUUAACAAGUCAACAUCAAUUUCUUUUGUUGUAAAAGAGUCAUUGGAAGGUGGCUUUUUCUUCGGAGAAAGUGUUUAUAGCCUUUGACUUCUGCAGUCGGAGAGAUUGAGGUCUGCAGCGUAGAUCCUUCGGGGUUAGAUACAUUUGUGCUAAGCUAUAGUUCUUUCAUAGACAACUUGUUGACUAUGAUCAGUCCUGUAGCUUACUCGCUUAUGCUAUUUUACCUACGCUUAGGAUGUUGACGAGACUGUCGAUCUC